rnacentral:rRNA from 1 species
ACGCUGGCGGCAUGCUUUACACAUGCAAGUCGGACGGCAGCACAGAGAAGCUUACUUCUUGGGUGGCGAGUGGCGAACGGGUGAGUAAUAUAUCGGAACGUACCGAGUAAUGGGGGAUAACUAAUCGAAAGAUUAGCUAAUACCGCAUAUUCUCUGAGGAGGAAAGCAGGGGACCUUCGGGCCUUGCGUUAUUCGAGCGGCCGAUAUCUGAUUAGCUAGUUGGUGGGGUAAAGGCCUACCAAGGCGACGAUCAGUAGCGGGUCUGAGAGGAUGAUCCGCCACACUGGGACUGAGACACGGCCCAGACUCCUACGGGAGGCAGCAGUGGGGAAUUUUGGACAAUGGGCGCAAGCCUGAUCCACCCAUGCCGCGUGUCUGAAGAAGGCCUUCGGGUUGUAAAGGACUUUUGUCAGGGAAGAAAAGGCUGUUGCUAAUACCGACAGCUGAUGACGGUACCUGAAGAAUAAGCACCGGCUAACUACGUGCCAGCAGCCGCGGUAAUACGUAGGGUGCGAGCGUUAAUCGGAAUUACUGGGCGUAAAGCGAGCGCAGACGGUUACUUAAGCAGGAUGUGAAAUCCCCGGGCUCAACCUGGGAACUGCGUUCUGAACUGGGUGACUAGAGUGUGUCAGAGGGAGGUAGAAUUCCACGUGUAGCAGUGAAAUGCGUAGAGAUGUGGAGGAAUACCGAUGGCGAAGGCAGCCUCCUGGGAUAACACUGACGUUCAUGCUCGAAAGCGUGGGUAGCAAACAGGAUUAGAUACCCUGGUAGUCCACGCCCUAAACGAUGUCAAUUAGCUGUUGGGCAACUUGAUUGCUUAGUAGCGUAGCUAACGCGUGAAAUUGACCGCCUGGGGAGUACGGUCGCAAGAUUAAAACUCAAAGGAAUUGACGGGGACCCGCACAAGCGGUGGAUGAUGU